AUUACUGAGUUUACGCUCUAUAACCCUUUGUGAACAUACCUAUAACUGUUGCUUCGGCGGGUAGGGUCUCCGCGACCCUCCCGGCCUCCCGCCUCCGGGCGGGUCGGCGCCCGCCGGAGGAUAACCAAACUCUGAUUUAACGACGUUUCUUCUGAGUGGUACAAGCAAAUAAUCAAAACUUUUAACAACGGAUCUCUUGGUUCUGGCAUCGAUGAAGAACGCAGCGAAAUGCGAUAAGUAAUGUGAAUUGCAGAAUUCAGUGAAUCAUCGAAUCUUUGAACGCACAUUGCGCCCGCCAGCAUUCUGGCGGGCAUGCCUGUUCGAGCGUCAUUUCAACCCUCAAGCUCUGCUUGGUGUUGGGGCCCUACAGCUGAUGUAGGCCCUCAAAGGUAGUGGCGGACCCUCCCGGAGCCUCCUUUGCGUAGUAACUUUACGUCUCGCACUGGGAUCCGGAGGGACUCUUGCCGUAAAACCCCCCAAUUUUCCAAAGGUGA
rnacentral:rRNA from 1 species